rnacentral:rRNA from 1 species
UACGAGGGGGGGCGAGCGUUUGUUCGGAAUUAUUGGGCGUAAAGGGCGCGUAGGCGGUGCGGUAAGUCACCUGUGAAACCCCCCGGGCUCAACCUGGGGGCUGCACUUGAUACGUAGGAACUUGAGUGGGGAAGAGGGUCGUGGAAUUCCCAGUGUAGAGGUGAAAUCGUUAGAUAUUGGGAAGAACACCUGGUGGCGAA